rnacentral:snoRNA from 1 species
GAGCUGUGAUGAGUAUUACUCUUACGUGAUGAUUUGGGUUAUCACAACCUUCUUAUCUUCGGAUGUGAAGUGUGAUCCGCGCUGCUGAGCUC